CAAUAGCGUAUAUUAAAGUUGUUGCGGUUAAAAAGCUCGUAGUUGGAUUUCUGCUGAGAACGACCGGUCCGCCCUUUGGGUGUGUAUCUGGCUCUUUCUUGGCAUCUUCUUGGUGAACGUUGCUGCACUUGACUGUGUGGAGCGCUACCCAGGACUUUUACUUUGAGGAAAUUAGAGUGUUUCAAGCAGGCAUACGCCUUGAAUACAUUAGCAUGGAAUAAUAAGAUAGGACCUCGGUUCUAUUUUGUUGGUUUCUAGAGCUGAGGUAAUGAUUAAUAGGGAUAGUUGGGGGCAUUCGUAUUUAACUGUCAGAGGUGAAAUUCUUGGAUUUGCUAAAGACGGACUACUGCGAAAGCAUUUGCCAAGGAUGUUUUCAUUAA
rnacentral:rRNA from 1 species